rnacentral:SRP_RNA from 1 species
GCCAGGCGCAGUGGCGCGUACCUGUAGUCCCAGCUACUCGGGAGGCUGAGGUGGGAGGAUCACUUGAGCCCAGGAGUUCUGGGCUGUAGUGCGCUAUGCUGAUUGGAUGUCCACACUAAGUUCAGCAUCAGUAUGGUGACCUCUCAGAAGCGGGGACCACCAGGUUGCCUAAGGAGGGGUGAACCAGCUAAGGCCGGAAACGGAUCAGAUCAAAACUCCCGUGCUGAUCAGUAAUGGGAUCACACCUGUGAAUAGCCACUGCACUCCAGCUUGGGCAACAUGGCGACGUCCUUU